rnacentral:rRNA from 1 species
UACGGGGGGAGCAAGCGUUGUUCGGAUUUACUGGGCGUAAAGGGCGCGUAGGCGGUCAGCACAAGUCAGUUGUGAAAUCUCCGGGCUUAACUCGGAAAGGUCAACUGAUACUGUGCGACUAGAGUGCGGAAGGGGCAACUGGAAUUCUCGGUGUAGCAGGGAAAUGCGUAGAGAUGUGGAGGAACACCGAUGGCGAAGGCAGCCCCCUGGGUUGAGAUUGACGCUCAGGCACGAAAGCGUGGGGAGCAAACAGG